GGGGCAGUACUCAAGAGGCUGAAGAGGCGGUCCUGCUAAGACUGUAGUGGUGGCAACACCAGCGGAGGUUCGAAUCCUCUCUGCUCCGCCA
rnacentral:tRNA from 1 species